rnacentral:lncRNA from 1 species
AUGCCACUCAGUCAUGCAAGGCUGCUAAAGAGACGUUGUGCUAAUAAUAACACCACAUGCUCGGUUCUGUUCAGAGAUACACAAAGACUGCAGUAUAACCUUCAUCUGAACCCAGAAACAACAGACAUCUCAAUAAUAAAGAGUUUUUACUGUUUUGCUGCUUAAUAUUUUUCUCUCACAAAAUAUUUGUUAUUUAACAUCAAAGUUAAGAAAUGCCUAAGAUGACGCAUGGUUUGAAUUUGAGUGUCAGUUAAUAAUUCUAAAUAAAGAUUGGUUUGCUGGUACAAUAUUUGUACAAAUUGUGCACUGCAUUUUCAGCUAAAUAGCAAAUAGGUCCAAAUAUAUUUAGCACCUUGUUUACCUCCGUAGUGCAUGUAAUCUAGAGUCACACCAGUGCUUUUCAUUCUCUAAGAUGUGUAUUCGCACACAUGGCAGUGCUGAGCUGAUUCUGAGCAGCUCUAUGAAUUAUCCAGCUGAUCUGAUUUACAGCUUCUUUUUGCUGCUUAAAACAUAAAAAAUUCUAUUAUAUAUGAGGAUACAGAGGCACAGAAGGGCAAAUGUCUUUCAGUAAAUCAGUUUGUGUAAUGAAGUGAGCAUACUGUACGUACAUUGUAUCCAUUUUUGUUGGGAAAAAUAAAUCUGGAUCUGUAAACAAAAGUAUCUUGGACAACCAACAUUUAUGGUAAUUUGAAGGCUUUGUGAGGCUACUGCACAACAUGGCCAAACAUCCUUAUAUUGCAUGGAUCUACUUUUUGUUUCCAUAUUGUAUGAAAUAUCAAAUGGGAUGGACAUUUAUGGACCAUAUCUUUGUAAUCUAUGCUACACCAUUGUAAGAAUUUCUAUGAAAUCAUCUAACCUUAUAUUGGACAACUACAUAAGUUGAAGUCUUCUAUUGAUUUUGUUGUUCAUUUACAUAUUAUUUUUUGGCUUUUUCAUUUAUAUUCCAUCUCAAAGAAUAAUUAAAUAAAGGAUAAUAAUAAAAGGUACAAACUUUUCACAGACACUCUUAAAAAUUAUGGUUCCAAAAGAGGGUUUUCGCAGUGAUGCCACUGAAGGACCGUUUUGGGUUCUUCCUCUUAAAGUUCUUAAAAGAACCAUUUUUCUUUUUGUGAAGAACAUUUUAAGAUUUCUAAGAACCUUUUGUACAAUGGAAAGUUUCCAUGGAUGUUAAGGUUCCAACAAAGAACUUUCAUUUUUAAGAGUGUAUGUUUUACUAUCGGCCAGCAGAUCUUCUCCUAAAGAUGUUCCCUCCGAAUCGUACAACCUUACAUCAAGAGAACCAGACGAUCUGUGGAAUACAGGUCAGAAAGUGUGAGAGGCGAACUUCUCUUACGUCACAGAGGUGGAGGUGCUGUUAGUAACAGGGUGAGAUUUGUUUUUAA